UCUAACAAAGCAACAUCUUCAGCACCAAUGCAAAAUAAGGAUAUAAUUUAGGAGCUGCAUCAGUGAGAUAACAUAUCUGGAAAGUCAUUUGAUAGCAAACUCUUAAAGGAAACAUACAUUUCUCAUAAAAAAGUAGAACACAUAUACCAGGCUAAUCAAUCAUAAAUGACCAAAAAAUGAAAUGUCAUCAUGGCCUUUAGAAUCAUCAUCUCAAUUCUCAUUGCAGCAAAUGGAACUUUGACUAGUGAUUGAUAUCAUAAAAGAUAGCAAAUUGCAAAGCAACAAAAGUUCCUUUAAGUAAGAAACCAAUCAAUGAAACUAGUUAGCAAGUUCAAAACAGACGACAUCAACGAAAUAUGAAUUGCAACGUCCUAUACUACACUGAUUAAAUCAUUAUACCCAUGAAAGGUUUUGGAUUAAAUCAAAUCACGUUCAUACAUUAUACUAAGAUUAUACAUAUACAUAAGUUUGCAGAUGAGAGAAUGGAGCAGUACGUACUUAACGAAAGUAGUGGAGAACUUGCUACUUCGGUAGCAAUAGCAUGUGGGUUACAAGUUUGUAAAAGGAGAAAGAUGCUCCAAUAUUUCUUUUACAAACAUCUAAAUCACGAAUGCAGAUAUGUGAAGGAGUGAAUCAUGCUUUUUUGCAAUCCAAUGAUUUUUGGAUAUUUUCUUCCAUUACUUGUCCUCGUGGCUUGAGACUUUAAGAAUACGCAGGACUCACUGACGAAGAUCUGCAACGGCAUCCGGAGUCCAUUUGGUGGUUGCUAAAGGAAAAAGAUAGGAGAAGAGAAUGAAGUUAAAGGAGAAAAUUAUAAUAUAACCCUAAAAAUGGUUGUCCUUUCUCAUUUACGGUUCAUGUUCCACGCCUCUGGGAAGGGAAGAUAAUUGUCUGGGAUACUCUCAGAAAUUCUCACAUAUACGAAUCUCUCCAUCCAAUGACGAUCUUUCGGCUCAUCUACGAGCGACAGAAGACCUGAUUUUCCUCGCUUGACGAGAUAUACAACCCCAUUUCGAAAAGUUCGAAGAGAAUAGAGAUGCAUCAAGUAGCUUAAAGUGAAAAUUGCAUUAGGACCAAAAGCUUUUACAGACAAGUAAAGGAUGCAGGCGAUGCUCCUACAAACCGCCGGACCUAUUUGAGCAAGGAAAAUGUUAUAGCAUUUCCACAAAUCUAAAAUUAUCGGAUCAAUCACCGGCUUAAAACGUAAGGUGAAAGGAUAAGUAUAUAUAUUGAAAAACCCAGAUUUGAAAGAGGUCAUAGCAUCAGGAAUAAGAAUUUCAAUAACCAAAUCCCAACGACAUUCCACCAGGAUAACUUCAAAAAUAGAAGAAUCAAUCACCGAACGAUAGUUUUCUACUGGUUCACCCCAUCGCUCAUAGUAGAUGGUUGUCGUACAGUCUAGUCACAAUCCCAAUUGUAACUCACUGGGAAAAUAAAACCUAGUUCCGAGCCAGCAUCAGCGACGGAUAAAGCAUGAGAACAACAGUAAGCAGAAGAAAUUGAAGAAGUCUUAGCAGCCAUCUAUGAGAAUGUUAAGAGACAAAUUUGUUGUUGAUAAAGCGAAGAAGAAAAAAACUGCAGUUUACUCCAUGACAGAAAAGUCACAAUAAAACAAGAUAGAAAAGAAGAGGAAACAGAUCUCAUAGGGAAUUUGACUCAUCAUUGCAACACUUCUAUAAUAUAUAAAUCGGUCCCAAAGACUUAUCGCACGCUAACACGUGUUUUGGAAAAGUCUUUCAUAUGUCAAGAUGCAUUUAAUGGAGAAGAUCUUCUUUCUUAUGGAAGAUACUCCUUCCAGCACGUUAUCGAAGGAUUGGCUUCCAUAAGAAAGAAGAUCUUCUCCAUUAAAUGUGUCCUGACAUAUGAAAGACGUUUUCAAAACACGUGUUACCGUGCGAUUGGUCUUUGGGGACAAUUUAUAUAUUAUUGAAGUGCCGCAUUGAUAAGUCAAAUUCCCUAUGAGAUUUGUUUCCUCUUAUUCUUUAUCGUGUUUUACUAUGACUUUCUAUCUUCGAGUAAACUACCGAUUAUUUCUUCUUCGCUCUAUCAACAACAAAUUUGUCUCUUAACAUUCCCAUAGAUGGCUAAGACUUCUUUGAUUUCUUCUGCCUACUGUCGUUUCAUGCUUUUUCUGUCGCUGAUGGCUCCGAACUGGAUUCUAUUCUUCCAGUGAGUUACAAGUGGUCUUGUGAUGUACCGAACGACAACAAUCUACUGUGAGCGAUAAGGGCGAACCAGUUGAAAAUUAUCGUUCGUUGAUAGAUUCUUCUAUUUUUGAAGUCGUCCGGGGGGACUGUCGCUAGAUAAGGUUACCGAAAUCCUUAUUCCUGAUGUUAUAACCUCCUUCAAAUCGGGGUUUUCCAAUGUAUAUACUUAUCCGUUCACCUUAGGUUUUAAGCCUGCGAUUGACCUAGUAAUUUUAGAUCUGUGCAAAUGCUAUAACAUUUGCCUUGCUUAAAUAGGUCCAGCGGUAUGGAGGACCGCCGCCUACCUCCGUUACUUGUCCGUAAAAGCUUUUGGUCAUAAUACAGCUUUCACUUUAAGCCACUUCAUGCAUCUCUAUUCUCCUCAAACUUUUCGAGGCGGGGUUGUAUAUCUCAUCAAGCAAGGAAAAUCAGGUAUUCUGUCAAGCAUGGAUGAGUCGGAAAAUCAUCGUUGGAUGGAGAGAUUCAUAUCAGUGAGGACUUCCGAGAUUGUCCUGGACAACCAUUUUCCCUUCCCAGAGGCGUGGAACAUGAAUCGUAAGUGAGAAAGGAGAACCAUUUUUAGGGUUGUGUUAUAAUUUUCUCUUUUUAACUCAAAUCUCUUCUCCUAUAUUUUUCCUUUAUCAGCCAGCAAAGGGAGGCUGAAUGUCAUAGCGCAUCUUCAUCAAUGAGUUCAGCACAUCCAUGAAGUCUCUUGCCAUGAGGACGAGUCAUGGAAAAAAUAUCGAAAAAUCGUUAAAUUGCGAAAAAUCAGUACGCUCCUUCAUAUAUCUGCCUACGAGAUUUUGAUGUUUGUAGAAGAAAUACUCGAGUACCAUUCUCCUUAUCUUAUACAAACGUGCAACCCCUAUGCUAUUGCAACCAAAGUUGCAAUUUCUCCAAUACUUUGGUUACGUACGUACUGCUCCAAUCUAUCAUCCCCAAACCUUAUGUAUUAUGUAUGAACAUGAUUUAUGCAAAAACUAUCAUGGGUAAAAUUUGUUAAAAAAAUAAAGAAUUAGGAUUAUUUUUGUUGCGGGCAUUGUUGGAUAGACAGCCAAUGACAAAUUAAGUAUGAACGCGAGCAAUCGUGCAAAAGAUACACUUAAUUAAGCAUUUAAAUAUAUCUACUUUCUUUAGAAGUAAAACCAAUUAAAGAUGAAAAAUCUAGAGUUAUUAGUGGUUGGGAUAAUUGACUAGUGUUAACUUAUUUUACGUUUACUUUUUAGUGUGAACUUGAAGCCUAUGUUAAAAGGUCUCCCUUCUAAGAAGGUGGUGGUGGCAUAUCCGGAUGUUGAUCCAAGGGCGUCUGGUGGCCGACUUGCCGAAGCUAAGAUGAACAAUAGAAAGCUGGUUUCUACUAACCGUGGUAAGUAUUCUUCAUCCUCACAACCCCCACUUUUAGAAAAGCAGAGGCGGUUUGUGAAGGCUAGUUCCCUUGCACCCGUUGUUAGCGAUGGGUACUACGUGCAUACUCAAGAUGAAGUUUCCCCGACUCUUAGCAACAGUGUUGCAUCCUCCAAUAGGACCGGUGCAUUAGUUUAACACCUAUGGUCCCACAAAGUGAGGUGGGGAGAGUACAAUAUAGCCAAACCUUACCCCUACUACAGAGGUAGAGAGCCUGUUACCAAUAGACCCUCAGCUCAAGGAGAAAUAGUCCAAAGCAGUCCAGAAAAAGAAGUAACGAAAGUGAAAGCAUAACAAAACAAAAUAUUACAAUAAUCAAAGUACAAGAAACGACAAAUAAUAACGACUAAACGAAGUAUAGAUACAUGCAUGUAAAGUCCUACGAAAUUCAGAAAAAAUAUUAAGUUUGAACCCAUUACUUUAACACUACAAUGAUUUCAAUGAUUUCUCACCAGGAUAAGUAAAAACAGUAUAUGUCUUUCACCUGAGGGCAUUCACAAAAGACAGCAAGGAGUCUACGUCCCUCUUCUCCGACCAGUACUUAAUCGACUGUGAAGAAUGCCUAGGGAAGAGUAUUGUAGGGAAGCUACCAAGCUGCAAUUCUUUUUGUGCAAAAGCUUUCUGGUCACCAUCUUCCCUACCUUCACACCAGAACUUGCCAACUUCUCCGCCAAUUCAACAUAGGAUCUUUCCAUUAAUUUAAUCCCCAAACACCAUCAGGCUGGGAAGUAAAGGGGAAUGCAGCAAUUUCAUAACAUGGCUAUAUACGUGAAAAGUCACCAAGUUUUCAACAACUAUCAAAUUCUAAAAACGUAAUGCCAAAAGUACACUAUGCUCAGUGCUAAGAACCUUAAAGGUUGAACUAAUCAAAUUCAAAUCUAGGAUCAGCCUCAGUGGAGAAAGAAAAAGUUGAUGAGAAAAUAAAUUACCUGGCAAAAGCGGUGUGCAUAAAGAACAAGAAGCCAAGGCUCACUUCGAUUCACCAACUUCAAAAGAUUCUUAAUUUCAGGCCUACUCAAGCUUACAAUGUGUCCUUGCUGGAAAGUUAUUUGAGAGACAUCUUAAAGGAAAUCAACAUUUCUGAUAAACAAGUAGAACAGCACAUGUACCAAUCCUAAAUGACCAAAAACCGAAAUAGCAUCAUGACCUCUAAAAUCCUCAACGCAUUAACUGGUGAUUCAUUUGGUAAAAUUAAUAAAUUGCAAUGCAACACGAGUUCUCUUUAGUGAGAAGCGUAUCAAUGACACUAGCUUGAAAUGUUCAUUUACAUUUAGGAGAUAUGAUACUCCGCCUCGAGUAGUUCCUAUGAAACAACAAUUAGGCCAGUUUUUAUUAAGUAAAAACCAACAUGAUAAAACUUGUUCAUAGUACAAUGCUUAAAUUCAGUCACUUCAAGCAUGCAUCAUAGCUUGUUUAAUGAGAAUGCGUAAAUUGCAAUGCAACAAGAGUAGUACAAUGCUUAAAUUGCAAUGCAACAAGAGUUCUCUUUAGUGAGAAACACAUCAAUGAAACUAGCGGGCAAUGUUCAUAUACAUUUAGGAGAUAUGAUAAUCCACCUCGAGAAGUUCCUAUGAAACAAAAAUUAGGCCACUUUUUAUUAAGUAAAAAACAACAUGAUAAAACUUAUUCGUGGUACAAUGCUUGAAUUCAGUCACUUCAAGCGUGAGACACACACAACAAAAAUGAUAAAAUUCACUGAUCUUAAUCACAUUUACGGAGAAUCUUAGUAGCCCAGGUGGUUGACUACCUACCUGAACUUUACCAUAUUGCUGGUGAGGGUUCGGUUCCCCACCUUGUAAUCCCCUCCCCCGUUUUUGCUUUCCCUAACCCCAUUUUUAAAAACAAGAUCAUACUUUUAAGUGCAAAGAUUGAAACUUUGAGAACAAAAACCAAAAAAAAUGGAAAAAAAAAAGAAUAUAAAAUAGUACAAGCAUCUUCAGCAUAACAAAUUAACUCAAUAAAUUAAGUAACAGCCCAGAGCACAAAGUUCCGGCUAUGUGUGGGGUCUGAGGCAGGGCCAGACCACAUGUGUAUAUGGUACGCAGUCUUACCCUGCAUUUCCACAAAAACGUGACCUCCUUAUCGCAUGGUAGCAACUUUACCAUUUAUGCCAUGGCCGGCUCUACAUCACUAUAAAUACAGAAUCAGGGGCAGACAGAUGCACUAAGUCCCAGUUAUGUGCGGGGUCCAAGGAUGAUCUGAACCACAAGAGUCUAUUGUACCAUGCGGGGUCCAAGGAUGAUCUGAACCACAAGAGUCUAUUGUACCAACCUUACCUGCAUUUCUGCAACAGGCUGUUUUAACAACUUCAUUUCCAUUACAAAAUAAGCAGUAAAUCACACAAAUUUAGACAACUAAAAU
rnacentral:lncRNA from 1 species